ACAGAUUUACUUCGUAAUGACGUUGGGAAAGCGAGCGGCGGAUGGGUGAGUAACACGUGGGGAACCUGCCCCUAAGUCUGGGAUACCAUUUGGAAACAGGUGCUAAUACCGGAUAAUAAAGCAGAUCGCAUGAUCAGCUUUUGAAAGGCGGCGUAAGCUGUCGCUAAGGGAUGGCCCCGCGGUGCAUUAGCUAGUUGGUAAGGUAACGGCUUACCAAGGCGACGAUGCAUAGCCGAGUUGAGAGACUGAUCGGCCACAUUGGGACUGAGACACGGCCCAAAACUCCCUUAACCGGGAGGCAGCAGUAGGGAAUCUUCCACAAUGGACGCAAGUCUGAUGGAGCAACGCCGCGUGAGUGAAGAAGGUUUUCGGAUCGUAAAGCUCUGUUGUUGGUGAAGAAGAUAAGGUAGUAACUGGCCUUUAUUUGACGGUAAUCAGACCGAAAGUCACGGCUAACUACGUGCCAGCAGCCGCGGU
rnacentral:rRNA from 1 species